rnacentral:tRNA from 1 species
GAGGGUAUAGCUCAGUGGUAGAGUGCAUGCUUAGCAUGCACGAGGUCCUGGGUUCAAUCCCCAGUGCCUCUU